rnacentral:tRNA from 1 species
GCGAUCGUAGCUCAGUUGGUAGAGCACCGGGUUGUGAUCCUGGAUGUCGCGGGUUCAAGUCCCGUCGGUCGC